rnacentral:rRNA from 1 species
AUUGAACGCUGGCGGCAGGCCUAACACAUGCAAGUCGAGCGGAUGAAGGGAGCUUGCUCCUGGAUUCAGCGGCGGACGGGUGAGUAAUGCCUAGGAAUCUGCCUGGUAGUGGGGGAUAACGUCCGGAAACGGGCGCUAAUACCGCAUACGUCCUGAGGGAGAAAGUGGGGGAUCUUCGGACCUCACGCUAUCAGAUGAGCCUAGGUCGGAUUAGCUAGUUGGUGGGGUAAAGGCCUACCAAGGCGACGGUCCGUAACUGGUCUGAGAGGAUGAUCAGUCAAACUGGAAAUGAGAAACGGUCCAGAAUCCUAGGGGAGGCAGCAGGGGGGAAUAUUGGAAAAUGGGCGAAAGCCUGAUCCAGCCAUGCCGGGUGUGUGAAGAAGGUCUUCGGAUUGUAAAGCACUUUAAGUUGGGAGGAAGGGCAGUAAGUUAAUACCUUGCUUUUUUGACGUUACCAAAAGAAUAAGCACCGGCUAACUUCGU